rnacentral:miRNA from 1 species
CAGUGCAAUAUUGAAAGAGCAG